UAAAUACUCCUGACUGACCGAUAGUGAACCAGUACCGUGAGGGAAAGGCGAAAAGAACCCCGGCGAGGGGAGUGAAAAAGAACCUGAAACCGUGUACGUACAAGCAGUGGGAGCACCUUCGGGUGUGACUGCGUACCUUUUGUAUAAUGGGUCAGCGACUUAUAUUCUGUAGCAAGGUUAACCGUAUAGGGGAGCCGCAGGGAAACCGAGUCUUAACUGGGCGUUAAGUUGCAGGGUAUAGACCCGAAACCCGGUGAUCUAGCCAUGGGCAGGUUGAAGGUUGGGUAACACUAACUGGAGGACCGAACCGACUAAUGUUGAAAAAUUAGCGGAUGACUUGUGGCUGGGGGUGAAAGGCCAAUCAAACCGGGAGAUAGCUGGUUCUCCCCGAAAGCUAUUUAGGUAGCGCCUCGUGAAUUCAUCUUCGGGGGUAGAGCACUGUUUCGGCUAGGGGGUCAUCCCGACUUACCAACCCGAUGCAAACUACGAAUACCGAAGAAUGUUAUCACGGGAGACACACGGCGGGUGCUAACGUCCGUCGUGAAGAGGGAAACAACCCAGACCG
rnacentral:rRNA from 1 species